rnacentral:rRNA from 1 species
UUACGGUCAAAUCACGCUGAAACACCGGUUCUCGUACGAUCACCGAAGUUAAGCAUCGUAGAGCCAGGUCAGUACUUAGAUGGGGGACCGCAUGGGAACACCUGGUACUGUAAG